rnacentral:rRNA from 1 species
GGGCAGUGGAGACAUUGUCCUUCAGUUAGGCUGGCCCCAGAACAGGUGCUGCAUGGCUGUCGUCAGCUCGUGUCGUGAGAUGUUGGGUUAAGUCCCGCAACGAGCGCAACCCUCGCCCUUAGUUGCCAGCAUUUAGUUGGGCACUCUAAGGGGACUGCCGGUGAUAAGCCGAGAGGAAGGUGGGGAUGACGUCAAGUCCUCAUGGCCCUUACGGGCUGGGCUACACACGUGCUACAAUGGUGGUGACAGUGGGCAGCGAGACAGCGAUGUCGAGCUAAUCUCCAAAAGCCAUCUCAGUUCGGAUUGCACUCUGCAACUCGAGUGCAUGAAGUUGGAAUCGCUAGUAAUCGCAGAUCAGCAUGC